GACGAACGCUGGCGGCGUGCCUAAUACAUGCAAGUUGAGGGAUGAAGAUUGGUGCUUGCACCAAUUUGAAGAGCAGCGAACGGGUGAGUAACGCGUGGGGAAUCUGCCUUUGAGCGGGGGACAACAUUUGGAAACGAAUGCUAAUACCGCAUAACAACUUUAAACAUAAGUUUUAAGUUUGAAAGAUGCAAUUGCAUCACUCAAAGAUGAUCCCGCGUUGUAUUAGCUAGUUGGUGAGGUAAAGGCUCACCAAGGCGAUGAUACAUAGCCGACCUGAGAGGGUGAUCGGCCACAUUGGGACUGAGACACGGCCCAAACUCCUACGGGAGGCAGCAGUAGGGAAUCUUCGGCAAUGGACGAAAGUCUGACCGAGCAACGCCGCGUGAGUGAAGAAGGUUUUCGGAUCGUAAAACUCUGUUGGUAGAGAAGAACGUUGGUGAGAGUGGAAAGCUCAUCAAGUGACGGUAACUACCCAGAAAGGGACGGCUAACUACGUG
rnacentral:rRNA from 1 species